ACGUCCCGUCGCGAGAGGGGGCGGAGCGAGCGUGCACGGCGGGCGCGCGCAGGCUCCGUAACCGAGCCCUGAGCCGCCUGCGCGGAUCGGCGUCCGCAGCGGGCGGCUGCUGAGGUGCCCCCUGAUAAGUGCCGAUGUGCCGUGGGCAGCAUCCUGAGUGAAGGUGAGGAAUCGCCCUCCCCUGAGCUUAUCGACCUCUACCAGAAAUUUGGCUUCAAGGGGUUCUCCUUCCCGGCACCCAGCCAUGUGGUGACAGCCACCUUCCCCUACACCACCAUCCUGUCCAUCUGGCUGGCUACCCGCCGUGUCCAUUCUGCCUUGGACACCUACAUCAAGGAGCGGAAGCUGUGUGCCUAUCCUCGGCUGGAGAUCUACCAGGAAGACCAGAUCCAUUUCAUGUGCCCACUGGCACGGCAGGGAGACUUCUAUGUGCCUGAGGUGAAGGAGACAGAGCGGAAAUGGCGGGGGCUUGUGGAGGCCAUUGACACCCAGGUGGAUGGCACAGGAGCUGACACAAUGAGUGACACGAGUUCUGUAAGCUUGGAAGUGAGCCCUGGCAGCCGGGAGACUUCAGUUGCCACACUGUCACCUGGGGCGAGCAGCCGUGGCUGGGAUGACGGUGACACCCGCAGCGAGCACAGCUACAGCGAGUCAGGCGCCAGCGGCUCCUCUUUUGAGGAGCUGGACUUGGAGGGCGAGGGGCCCUUAGGGGAGUCACGGCUGGACCCUGAAACUGAGCCCCUGGGGACUACCAAGUGGCCCUGGGAGCCCAGUGCCCCUGAGAAGGGCAAGGAGUAACC
rnacentral:sRNA from 1 species